GACGAACGCUGGCGGCGUGCUUAACACAUGCAAGUCGAACGGAAAGGCCCUGCUUUUGUGGGGUGCUCGAGUGGCGAACGUGUGAGUAACACGUGAGUAACCUGCCCUUGACUUUGGUAUAACUUCAGGAAACUGGGGCUAAUACCGGAUAGGAGCUCCUGCUUCAUGGUGGGGGUUGGAAAGUUUCGGCGGUUGGGGAUGGACUCGCGGCUUAUCAGCUUGUUGGUGGGGUAGUGGCUUACCAAGGCUUUGACGGGUAGCCGGCCUGAGAGGGUGACCGGCCACAUUGGGACUGAGAUACGGCCCAGACUCCUACGGGAGGCAGCAGUGGGGAAUAUUGCACAAUGGGCGGAAGCCUGAUGCAGCAACGCCGCGUGCGGGAUGACGGCCUUCGGGUUGUAAACCGCUUUCGCCUGUGACGAAGCGUGAGUGACGGUAAUGGGUAAAGAAGCACCGGCUAACUACGUG
rnacentral:rRNA from 1 species